UACUGAGUUGAGACUUCACAGUACCAUCAGAUCUCAAAAUGAAGUGCAUUAUUUCCUGUUUAGGAGAGAUGGACAGAUGGGUCAUCCAGCUACUUCCUGAAAAGCAGGCAGAAAUGAGGAAGCCAAAACAACCAUUUGGUACCGCCUGCCUCUUUUAAAAAUACACCCUGAAGCCAUGCAGAAACUAUUACUCAGGAUUGCAGGUGUGGAUUUGGGGCCAGAACAGAUGUACGCAACUUUUCUCUUUAAAUUUCUCAGCCUCUUCACCUCUCAGGACCUAAUGCUACAAAGAGAGCAUCCCUGGCUGUGGGGAAAUAUACUAUGGAUUCCAGGGACCUGGAGAAAUGCACUUUUUGUGUACCUGUAAUAUUGUUCUGUGAACCUGGAAUACUACUGCUGUAGCAUCCUCAGAUGCUUGAGGGGGGAAGUCCUUUUCAUGCAAGAGAAAUAUUAAUUCCAUAAAAUAUAAAUUGCUAUAUACAUUGUGUAAAAUAAGAGAACUUAUGCAAAUAUACACAGUACAAAUUCAGCUUUGCCUGGAGAAGAAUUCCAAUAGUCUGGUUGCACCCUCUAUAUCAUAAGCUUAGAGACAAAAUCUUGGGGCCUAACUUGACUGAAUGGGCUGGAAAAGAUAUUAAAUGGAAAUUGAACUAUUUGUUGUUGGGGAAGGACCAAAGAAUUUCCAGUAAUGUAGCCCAGUUUUGUGUUUUAGCAAAUAAAUACAGGAAAGCAGGUGGAUAGGAGACCAUCAGUUAUUUUAGAGGAAUGUUGAAAUAAGUUCUAGUUUAUAUUUUAACUUUUUACCCCUUUGUUAAGGUUUGGAAUUUGGCCUUUUGUGAAUUGUUGUAUUGCUGGUUGUUAACCAUUAAUAAACAUUCAUUCAUUCAGGCUGUAAACUUCCUGGGUUUGUUUGUUUUUUAAAAACCAGGCUCUGAAUCACAACCUUAUUUUCAAUGUUCCAUCUUUAUUCUCACAGAACCCUGAUGUGGU